AUCAGGACUCCUCAGUUCACCUUCUCACAAUGAGGCUCCCUGCUCAGUUCCUGGGGCUGCUGAUGCUCUGGUUCCCUGGAUCCAGUGGGGAUAUUGUGAUGACCCAGACUCCACUCUCCCUGCCCGUCACCCCUGGAGAGCCGGCCUCCAUCUCCUGCAGGUCUAGUCAGAGCCUCCUGCAUAGUGAUGGAUACACCUAUUUGGAUUGGUACCUGCAGAAGCCAGGCCAGUCUCCGCAGCUCCUGAUUUAUGGGGUUUCCAAUCGGGCCUCUGGAGUGUCAGACAGGUUCAGUGGCAGUGGGUCAGGCACUGAUUUCACACUGAAAAUCAGCAAGGUGGAGGCUGAGGAUGUUGGGGUUUAUUACUGCGUGCAAGCUAUAGCGUUUCCUCCCACGGUGGUACAGACCAAUACAGAAACCUCCCUGCUGGGGUGUCCCAGCUGCUCACUUGUCUGGGGAGCAGCUCAGCAGGGUCUCUGAGUCUGCAGAAGAGGAGACUGUUGGAGAAGUCAGGGGCAGGGUUUGCUGCUGAGGGCUCUGGCCCAUGGGCGUCUCAGCAGCACCUCAGUCCCAUAUGGUCAAAGCUUUUUACGUUUUCAGGCUCAUCACCACCCUGCCUGUCUUGCCCACAUUUGCCAAUUACAUUCAGUCAGUAUAACAGCCAGAACAUAGAUGCAGUUUAGUGACAACACAAGUGGAAUCCAUGUGGAAAGCGACCAGCUUGGGGUUUAUUUUACACAAGUUAAUACUUGGUGAUAAUACUUGGAAUUAUUGAGAAAUCGGCAUUUUCCCACUUUCCUUACUUUCUGUUUCACUUUACCACUCACACUAGAUCAUAAACAACAGAACUGUGGUUAAGAAACAGACUAAAAAAAAAAAAAACUGGAGAUGGCAAAAAAUCGAGGGGUUGUGUGCAUCUCCUCAACAACAAAAUGAUGUUUGCAGGUUUCCCCUCCUUCUUUUCCAUUUUUGCUGCAAAGAAGCGAUUUCACCAGCUCCCUGUCAGAGGUUACAUUUGGAGCGUUUACAAAUAAAACUUUAGGCAGUUAGUGCUGGAUUCUGGGUAGGGUGGCUGGAGAGUGGGUCUGAAUUCCAAACAUAGAGGAGGUCAGAGUGAGUCAUGGAAAGACUGUGGGUGUGGGAAGAAAAGAUUUAGAACUCAGACCUUUGGCCACAGCCUUAGGAACUGAAGACUGCAGAACAUUGAUCAAGGAAUAGGAGACAGAAGAGAAGCUGGAUAAUCUUUUGAGAGAUGAUGAUGGAGGUCCAGGUGGAAGAUGA